UACAGGGGGGGCAAGCGUUGUUCGGAAUUACUGGGCGUAAAGGGUUCGUAGGUGGCCACUUAAGUCAGACGUGAAAUCCCUCGGCUUAACCGGGGAACUGCGUCUGAUACUGGAUGGCUUGAGUUUGGGAGAGGGACGCGGAAUUCCAGGUGUAGCGGUGAAAUGCGUAGAUAUCUGGAGGAACACCGGUGGCGAAGGCGGCGUCCUGGACCAACACUGACACUGAGGAGCGAAAGCCAGGGGAGCAAACGGG
rnacentral:rRNA from 1 species